rnacentral:lncRNA from 1 species
GCCAAGGCUGGGGAUGAGAUGGGAGUAGGAUCUCCCGACUCCUUAGGGUCACUCCUCAGGGUCACUCCUCGUCCUGGGGACCAGAUUCCAGGCUUCACAGGACCGGAGAAGGAGGAGCGCGUCCUCCCUUCCCAAAGCGCCAGCUCAUUUAGAUACAGGGAACAAAUUGCUGUUUUGGCCCCGGCGGCUCCUCUGGGCGCGGGCGGCAGCCGCGCUCGCUGGCAAAUCGUGGGAGGGAGGAGGAGCGGCGCUGGCAGGCAAGUCCGGGGGACCGUCGCAGCGCGGGAGGCCAAGAAAAGACGGCCGCCCCGGGCCCGGCUCCGCCCCGCCGGGAAGGGGCUCCCUGCAGCCGCCCCAGGGCAGCACCCCGCGCGGCGCCGCGCGGAGCUCUCCAGGACGAGCUGCGUGAGGCGCGGGGCUCGGCCUUCCUCGCUCUCCUGGUGCCAGGACCCGCACGCACAAGGCAGCUCCUGCUUGCGGAGACACCUCAUAGGAGCAGCUGGAUCCAUUUUCCAGAGCGUCAAGUUGAGGAUGAGAAAGUCUCGAGGGCCGGGCAGCUGUGCGCGCAGAACCCCCGCCCCAUCUGCUUUUAGAUUUCCCGGGUGCGGCUGGAGCCCCUCUAGAGCGCCGGCCUCCGCUGGCCGCAGGGCCUUCACCUGCGCCUGUCGCCCUGUCCCCUUGCCCACUGCAUUUUCCUCGGGGAGAGCAUCUUCCACAGCAUGCGUCCCCUGCCCCCCACGCCCCGAGCCCCCCUCCCAUUCCGCCGGGGGAGGAGAGGCUGCUAGGAGGCUCUCGGAGAGCCCCCGGGCUGCAGAGAAAGACGCCUCCCCUCUGCGGCUGAGGCCGAGUGAGCCAAAGGGGGCCGGCCGCUCGCCAGUGGUUCUCCGAGGUACGGGCGGGGAGGCCCGCGGGGUGGGAUCAGGGCGGCCGCCACCUCCCCGCCCCCGCCGAGGUCCCGAAGGGAGGGGAGCCCUCCGCGGGAGGCCUGUCCCUUUAAGGAGGCGGCCCUGGCUGGGUGUGCCCCGUCUCCAUGGUUACCCCGGUGCAGGCGGC